GUUUGUGUUUUUGAACCAGACGCGGUUGAAGGCAGCUAAAACGACACUCGUUAACAACUGUCAUUUGUGCCUUUUCUACAUUGAAGUUCUUGAUUGGUGAUAUUUCAAAGUUUUAAAGGUUUGUCCUCAUCUUCGGAGUCAUGUCCUCCAGGAAGUCGAGUUCCAGUAGGGAAGACCUGCCUUCCAGUAAACAUGGAGAGCGUACACCCCUUCGAAGUCUGGACAAUGAAAUCCUACAUUUUUCAACUCCGUCAUCUGAACUCAAGAAGCUGUCCUCUGAAGCUGCGAAAAUGUCAAUGGCGAGCUUUUCGCCGUUCGGCCCAGAAUUCCAGUUGAAUUCCCCUGUGUUCACCAAAAUGACACAGAGCAGUCCUCCCCAUGUGGACUGGUCUACGUCCGACUGUGGACCUGAAGAGGUCACGUUCAAAUCCUUUAUGUGUGACGGUGGUGAGGUUGAGAUUCCCGAGUCUACAGUUUGCCACCAGGCGAGUAUUAUUUUGCCUACAGAUGUUGACACUUGCUGCAGUCGAACCGAAGAUACGAUCCCCUGUCCCAGCGUGAUGGAGCAGUACUGCUGUGAUCAUGCAGAACACCCCUACUACAACCCCAACAUCCACCAAGCCUGCGCUGUGGACAUCGGCUCGCCAAGACUCGGGGAAACCUCCGCUCAAGCGUCUCUUGAUGCCACCAGUGACGGACUACCUUACACAGGAAGUGAAGACCACCAUAUCACUUUGAAAUCCUUUGACUGCCACGGAGGGGAGGUGGAAGUUUCCGAUGCCACCAAGUUACAAGACGAGACCAUUCCAUUGCCCACAGAGCUGGAUUCAUUAGAAGACAAUAGUACAGAAAUCGCUAACUUCUCUGAUUUUAGCCAUUUAUGCCAAGAAGAACAUGCUGAUCACCCAUACUGUAUAAAUGACAAAUGUCCUCUGAUCGCCACCUUUUCUGAAACCAUAACUGUUUUUGAACAGCCUGGAAGCAAAGCUACUGAGUUGCCUUCUAACAGGCUUACCUGUCAUGAAGAUGAGAUUCAAAUCUCAGUAGAUGAGAAGAGUUUUCUCCAUUUACCAGCAGUUUCCAGUAAAAAACCCUCUAACGAUGAUCUAGCUCCAAGCGUUUUGGCCGCAGAACAUGAUCUGCAAAGUGAUCACCUAGACUGCUCUGUUCCAAAUGAUUCCUCACCUCACCAUGAACAGCUCUUCCCCAACCAGGAAAUACUCUGCAGUUCUGGAACCUUUGGAGAUGAACAUCUGGAUCGGACGGUCCAAGGAGAUCCAGUUAAAGCCGCCUUCUGUGCUGUCUUCACAGCAGGAGGCGGCACUGGAAAAGCAGUUGACGACUCGUCUGGUUUACCUGGACAGGCUCAAAUGAAAGAGGAGGUUGUAGAAGGUGUGGGUGAUGGAGAUUCACCAGUUUUUAAUGAAUCCACGAACAAACCGAGUCAGAGGGCUUUACUCGGCGAAGCCACGGAUUGUGAGGUAGAAGAUGUGACACUAACGCAUCCUUCAGUGCUCGCUGGGCCUGCAGAGGUUUCUGUGGAUGACAUAGCAGCACAGCAGGUUAAUGCAUCACACAGAUCCUCUGAAUUCAGUGAGAUAAAAGAACGCGCACUUGGCUCAUCAUCUGUUAAUGGUCCUCUUCUUUGCAACUCUGCGGAAAAACCUGUGGAGAACACUCCUGCGGUUUUGAAGGUCCUGUCAGAAUGUCACUCUCUUGCUUCAGCUUGGAAGUUGGGAAUCCUGAGUCCCAUUGUCAAGAGAGCAUCUAUUUCUUUACUGAAGGCGAGUGAGCAGAUCGCCAAAGACAAAAACUUGGCGGACGAUUCUGUUCUUGAGGGUGACAAGAGCUUAUUUGCCGCGUCUGGGUUAUGUACGGAGCACUUGGAGAGCCCCAUGCCCAGCCCUCUGUUCAACUCCACGGUGGUGUGUCACAAAUUCUCGCCAAGGUCGGCCACAGUGCAAGAGGGCGAUUCGGGUAAGCAGUCCUGUGUCGAGCCUCAGCCUGAAGUCAAGCAGCACGGUGAGGAGAUUCCACUGAUUCCUGAGGGGCAGCUUCAGCAGCAGCUUCGGCAGAUGGCAGAAUUCCUCAUCCUGGCGUGUGGAAAGAUUGGCCCCGCCGUCUCCACCUCUGCCCCGCCUCCUUUUGAGUCCCUGAGUGUUUGUGUGGGCACCAGUCCGGUCAAACUGGUGGACUGCAGUCUUAACACGUCUGGCCUGUUUGAGAGGAGAAGAGAGUUCUCUGUAGCGGAUUCCUGCACCCUGACUGACCCCCUCCUGUGGAAUUUACCUCCAGGCAGCUUGGAGAGUUUGCCCAGACGGGAGCUGGAGCAGAGGCUGACGUCCAGCACCAUCAUGAUCGAGGCUCUGGUCCAGCAGCUGGCCGCAGCCCGGGCUCAUGGGGGGGUCUGCGCAGGCGCUGCUCCUUCAGACCUCCGAGAGAAGCUGGUGCAGACGGACCACACCGAACUCAACCAGACAUCGAUGUACAGAGACUUGUAUCUGGAAGCUUUGAGCAGGAUUGAGAAGCUGGAGCUUGAUGGGGAAUCCCUGCAGAGUCUCCUGUGUUCUUUGGAUGAUGUGAGGGCGACCAUGGCUAGUUUGGCUGGAGACACGGACGCCGCCCUCUCUAACGUGAAAGAGAUCACAGUGGAUAUUAGAGCGGACCACCAGAGCCCCUGUCACACUACGGGCAGAUGAAGGCUCUUUUUUGACAAAGCCAAGGAGUCUCAGAGGAGAACGAUGGAGAAGGCGAAGGAAGUUAUCGCCCAAAGAAACGACAUGAGGACUCGGAUGGAAGACGCUUUCACAGCUAAGGAAGCUGCCUUCAGCGCGAUGGAGCAGCUUAGGAGACAUUGUUCUGCAGAGAUCUCUGCUCUGGAGGAGAGCGUGGGGUCUCAGCAACAGCUUGUGGCUGCUCUAAGACACACCUAUCCUGAGCAGGUUGCAUUAAACAAGACUUGUAGUGAAACUCUAAAGUCAGCCAACGAGCUUCUGUCCCAAACUAUGGAUGAGCACUCCAAUCUGAUGAAUGAGCUUUGCACAGUCCAAAACCUUCUGCAGAGAACUACCCCCAUGCUUCUGAGGCUGAAGGAGGCAGCAGCCGAUGCCCUGACGGAGCGGGACGAGCUCGUUUCUGCAAGAGAUGCAGCCAAAAAGGAAAAA